rnacentral:rRNA from 1 species
AUACGGAAGGUCCGGGCGUUAUCCGGAUUUAUUGGGUUUAAAGGGAGCGCAGGCGGCACUUCAAGCGUGACGUUAAAUUUCGGGGCUCACCCCCGUUAUGCGUCGCGAACUGUUGUGCUUGAGUAGGCGGCAGGGAGGCGGAAUUCGCGGUGUAGCGGUGAAAUGCUUAGAUAUCGCGAGGAACUCCGAUAGCGCAGGCAGCCUCCCGUUGCUUUACUGACGCUCAUGCUCGAAGGUGCGGGUAUCGAACAGGACUAGAUACCCUGGUAGUCCGCACUGUAAACGAUGACGACUUGUUGUCGGCGACACACUGCCGGUGACAAAGCGAAAGCGAUAAGUCGUCCACCUGGGGAGUACGAUCGCAAGGUUGAAACUCAAAUGAAUUGACGGGG